UGUGUGUGUGUGUGUGUGUGUGUGUGUGUACGCGCACGCACGCGCGCGCACACACACACAGAAACAUGCACACACACA
rnacentral:miRNA from 1 species